rnacentral:rRNA from 1 species
UACGUAGGUGGCAAGCGUUGUCCGGAAUUAUUGGGCGUAAAGCGCGCGCAGGCGGUCCUUUAAGUCUGAUGUGAAAGCCCACGGCUCAACCGUGGAGGGUCAUUGGAAACUGGGGGACUUGAGUACAGAAGAGAAGAGUGGAAUUCCACGUGUAGCGGUGAAAUGCGUAGAGAUGUGGAGGAACACCGGUGGCGAAGGCGGCAUCCUGGACCGAUACUGACGCUGAGGAGCGAAAGCCAGGGGAGCAAACGGG